CCCCUGAAAUCAUUCUGGGUUUGCCUUGGAACGAGGCCGUGGACGUGUGGUCCCUGGGGACCAUGUUUGCCGACCUGUGGUUAGGAAUUAAAUUAUUCCCCAACACCACUGAAUUUGAGGCGUUGAGAAUUAUGAUCAGACUUCGGCGCACCUCCUGAUCACAUGCUCAGUCAGGGGCGCAUGACUAAGACAUUCUUCCGCUGGGUCGACAACAGAUGGUUCCUCAAAACUCACGAGUGUAAGAUCCACUACGCAG